CGGCCAUGAACACGGGAGGAAACAGCUUCGGGUGGAAGGAGAGCAUCUCUCUCUUGUUUCUCUCUCUAGCCGAGACUACUAGAGCUCUUUCUUUCUUGAUUCUAUGGGUGGUGGUGCAUGGUCGUUCUUAGUUGGUGGAGCAAUUUAUCUGGUUAAUUCCGUUAACGAACGAGACCUUAGCCUGCUAACUAGCUAUGCAGAGGUGACCUUUCGCGGCCAGCUUCUUAGAGGGACUAUGACUUUCCAGGCUAAGGAAGUUUGAGGCAAUAACAGGUAUGUGAUGCCCUUAGAUGUUCUGGGCCGCACG
rfam:Populus trichocarpa isolate Nisqually-1 chromosome 15, whole genome shotgun sequence.